UACGGAGGAUCCGAGCGUUAUCCGGAUUUAUUGGGUUUAAAGGGUGCGCAGGCGGGAGAUUAAGUCGGCGGUGAAAUUUUGCAGCUCAACUGUAAAAGUGCCUUCGAAACUGGUUUCCUUGAGUGUAGAUGAAGUAGGCGGAAUUUGUGGUGUAGCGGUGAAAUGCUUAGAUAUCACGAGGAACUCCGAUUGCGCAGGCAGCUUACUAAACUACUACUGACGCUCAGGCACGAAGGCGUGGGGAUCAAACAGGAUUAGAUACCCUGGUAGU
rnacentral:rRNA from 1 species